rnacentral:rRNA from 1 species
CUGACUGCUAUCGGAUGAUACUAAGCCAUGCGAGUCAUUGUAGCAAUACAAGGCAUACGGCUCAGUAACGCGUAGUCAACCUACCCUAUGGACGGGAAUAACCUCGGGAAACUGAGUAUAAUGCCCGAUAGAACAUUAUGCCUGGAAGGGUUUAUGUUCCAAAUGAUUUAUCGCCGUAGGAUGGGACUGCGGCCUAUCAGUUUGUUGGUGAGGUAAUGGCCCACCAAGACUAUUACAGGUACGGGCUCUGAGAGGAGUAGCCCGGAGAUGGGUACUGAGACACGGACCCAGGCCCUAUGGGGCGCAGCAGGCGAGAAAACUUUGCAAUGUGCGAAAGCACGACAAGGUUAAUCCGAGUGGUUUCUGCUAAAGGAACCUCUUGUUAGUCCUAAAAACACUAACGAAUAAGGGGUGGGCAAGUUCUGGUGUCAGCCGCCGCGGUAAAACCAGCACCUCAAGUGGUCAGGAUGAUUAUUGGGCCUAAAGCAUCCGUAGCCUGCUCUGUAAGUUUUCGGUUAAAUCUGUAUGCUCAACAUACAGGCCGCCGGGAAUACUGCAGGGCUAGGGAGUGGGAGAGGUAGACGGUACUCGGGAGGAAGUGGUAAAAUGCUUUGAUCUCUCGAUGACCACCUGUGGCGAAGGCGGUCUACCAGAACACGUCCGACGGUGAGGGAUGAAAGCUGGGGGAGCAAACCGGAUUAGAUACCCGGGUAGUCCCAGCCGUAAACUAUGCAAACUCAGUGAUGCAUUGGCUUGUGGCCAAUGCAGUGUUGCAGGGAAGCCGUUAAGUUUGCCGCCUGGGAAGUACGUACGCAAGUAUGAAACUUAAAGGAAUUGGCGGGGGAGCACCACAAGGGGUGAAGCCUGCGGUUCAAU